rnacentral:rRNA from 1 species
ACUCAAAUGAAUUGACGGGGGCCCGCACAAGCGGCGGAGCAUGCGGAUUAAUUCGAUGCAACGCGAAGAACCUUACCUGGGUUUGACAUACGCCGGAAGCCCUCAGAGAUGGGGGUCUCUUUGAUACUGGUGUACAGGUGGUGCAUGGCUGUCGUCAGCUCGUGUCGUGAGAUGUUGGGUUAAGUCCCGCAACGAGCGCAACCCUCGUCCCAUGUUGCCAGCAGACCUUCGGGUGCUGGGGACUCAUGGGAGACUGCCGGGGUCAACUCGGAGGAAGGUGGGGAUGACGUCAAGUCAUCAUGCCCCUUAUGUCCAGGGCUUCACGCAUGCUACAAUGGCCGGUACAAAGGGCUGCGAUCCCGUGAGGGGGAGCGAAUCCCAAAAAGCCGGUCUCAGUUCGGAUUGGGGUCUGCAACUCGACCCCAUGAAGUCGGAGUCGCUAGUAAUCGCAGAUCAGCAACGCUGCGGUGAAUACGUUCCCGGGCCUUGUACACACCGCCCGU